UGGGGAAUAUUGCACAAUGGGCGCAAGCCUGAUGCAGCCAUGCCGCGUGUGUGAAGAAGGCCUUCGGGUUGUAAAGCACUUUCAGCGGGGAGGAAGGCGAUAAGGUUAAUAACCUCAUCGAUUGACGUUACCCGCAGAAGAAGCACCGGCUAACUCCGUGCCAGCAGCCGCGGUAAUACGGAGGGUGCAAGCGUUAAUCGGAAUUACCGGGCGUAAAGCGCACGCAGGCGGUCUGUCAAGUCGGAUGUUAAAUCCCCGGGCUCAACCUGGGAACUGCAUCGGAUACUGGCAAGCUUGAGUCUCGUAGAGGGGGGUAGAAGUCCAGGUGUAGCGGUGAAAUGCGUAGAAAUCUGGAGGAAUACCGGUGGCGAAGGCGGCCCCCUGGACGAAGACUAACGCUCAGGUGCGAAAGCGUGGGGAGCAAACAGG
rnacentral:rRNA from 1 species